rnacentral:rRNA from 1 species
CCUACGGGAGGCAACAGUGGGGAAUAUUGCACAAUGGGGGAAACCCUGAUGCAGCGACGCCGCGUGAGUGAAGAAGUAUUUCGGUAUGUAAAGCUCUAUCAGCAGGGAAGAAAAUGACGGUACCUGAUUAAGAAGCCCCGGCUAACUACGUGCCAGCAGCCGCGGUAAUACGGAGGAUGCGAGCGUUAUCCGGAUUUAUUGGGUUUAAAGGGUGCGCAGGCGGGGGUGCAAGUCAGAAGUGAAAACCCAGGGCUCAACCUUGGGACUGCUUUUGAAACUGAGUAGCUAGAGUGCAGGAGAGGUAAGCGGAAUUCCUAGUGUAGCGGUGAAAUGCGUAGAUAUUAGGAGGAACACCAGUGGCGAAGGCGGCUUACUGGACUGUAACUGACGUUGAGGCUCGAAAGCGUGGGGAGCAAACAGGAUUAGAUACCCCUGUAGUC